GACGAACGCUGGCGGCGUGCUUAACACAUGCAAGUCGAACGAUGAACCCGGAGCUUGCUCUGGGGGAUUAGUGGCGAACGGGUGAGUAACACGUGAGUAACCUGCCCUGGACUCUGGGAUAAGCGUUGGAAACGACGUCUAAUACCGGAUAGGACCUUGGAUCGCAUGAUCUGGGGUGGAAAGUUUUUUCGGUCUGGGAUGGACUCGCGGCCUAUCAGCUUGUUGGUGAGGUAAUGGCUCACCAAGGCGUCGACGGGUAGCCGGCCUGAGAGGGUGACCGGCCACACUGGGACUGAGACACGGCCCAGACUCCUACGGGAGGCAGCAGUGGGGAAUAUUGCACAAUGGGCGAAAGCCUGAUGCAGCAACGCCGCGUGCGGGAUGACGGCCUUCGGGUUGUAAACCGCUUUUAGUAGGGAAGAAGGGCUUCGGCUUGACGUUACCUGCAGAAAAAGGACCGGCUAACUACGUG
rnacentral:rRNA from 1 species